CAUAGCCUUCAGCCCUAUAAGUAUNGAAGGUGAUGCCUGCCCAGUGAUNUCUUUAACGGCCGCGGGAUCCUACACCGUGCAAAGGUAGCAUAAUCACUUGUCAUCUAAAUAAUGACUAGUAUGAAUGGCCAAAUGAAGACUUUCCUGUCUCUUGUAACUAAUCAAUGAAAUUGAUCUUUCAGUUCAAAAGCUGAAAUAACAACACAAGACGAAAAGACCCUGUGGAACUUUCAAGUGAUAGCCAACACGCAUGGCAUUAACCACUUUUAGUUGGGGCAACUUUGGAACAAAACAAAACUUCCAAUAUAGGCUUAAUUAUAUUGCUUUAGGUUUACACACCUCUUAAACCAUACCACUAACGACCCAGUACUACUGAUAAAAGAAACAAGCUACCCCAGGGAUAACAGCGCCAUCCCCUCUUAGAGUCCCAAUCGACGAGCGGGGCUUACGACCUCGAUGUUGGAUCAGGGCCCCCAAACAGUGCAGCAGCUGUUAAUGGUUUGUUUGUUCAACAAUUAAUGCCCUACGUGAUCUGAG
rnacentral:rRNA from 1 species